rnacentral:rRNA from 1 species
AGAGUUUGAUCCUGGCUCAGAAUGAACGCUGGCGGCGUGCCUAACACAUGCAAGUCGAGCGAGAAAGUCUCUUCGGAGAUAAGUACAGCGGCGGACGGGUGAGUAACGCGUGAGAAUUUACCCUUUAGUGAAGAAUACCUCUGAGAAAUCAGGGUUAAUACUGCAUACGUCCCUACGGGGAGAAAGGUGGCCUCUUUGCUGCCGCUAAAGGAUAAGCUUGCGUACUAUUAGCUAGUUGGUGAGGUAAAGGCUCACCAAGGCGAUGAUGGUUAGCCGGCCUGAGAGGGUGUACGGCCACACUGGAACUUAGACACGGUCCAGACUCCUACGGGAGGCAGCAGUGAGGAAUAUUGCGCAAUGGGCGAAAGCCUGACGCAGCGACGCCGCGUGGAGGAUGAAGGUCUUCGGAUUGUAAACUCCUGUUAAGUGGGAAGAAAGACCUAUUUCUAAUACAGAUAGGGGAUGACGGUACCAUUAGAGAAAGCACCGGCUAACUUCGUG